CUCUCCAGUUGCGCCGAGCCCAGGACAGAGUGUGGCCUUUGUGAGGGGCGCAGGGAGGCCUGAGGAGUGGUCCCCCUCAGUCCUGGAGGUUGGGUGGCCUCUCUCCCCCCAGAGACCCUCUGUGGACACAGCCCGCAGCCUCGUGGAGCCCCUCCCUGAAGGCGAGGCCUGGCUGAGGCUUGCAAAGUUCCUGCUAUGCCCGGACUUCCCGCAUCUCGCCCCAGCAAUGCUAAAACCAGCAGGAAUAUACUAGUGUAUCUCCAGUGUCCAGAAGGGCGCCUUGCACACACAGGCACCUCCUUGAUCAAGGUUUGCUGGUGGGCCUAUCUUAGGAUGGUCACAGCUGCCGAAAUAGAUCUCUCCCCUCACCUGUUCUGAAGCAAAGAAGACCUUGAUAACUUCCUGUCAAAAGAAUGCAUGCUUUGAAACCACUCCCAGCCCGAAGGACGCCCCUCUGAUUCAGAGUGAAACACAUCCUCUGCCUCCUCACUCACCUGCCUCUCUCCGCCAAGUCCGCUCCUACAGAAUUCUCUA